rnacentral:rRNA from 1 species
GGGAGUCAGAACAUGGGUGAUAAGGUCCGUGUUCGAAAGGGAAACAGCCCAGACCACCAGCUAAGGUCCCAAAAUAUAUGUUAAGUGGAAAAGGAUGUGGCGUUGCCCAGACAACUAGGAUGUUGGCUUAGAAGCAGCCAUCAUUUAAAGAGUGCGUAAUAGCUCACUAGUCGAGUGACACUGCGCCGAAAAUGUACCGGGGCUAAACAUAUUACCGAAGCUGUGGAUUGUCCUUUAGGACAAUGGUAGGAGAGCGUUCUAAGGGCGUUGAAGCAUGAUCGCAAGGACAUGUGGAGCGCUUAGAAGUGAGAAUGCCGGUGUGAGUAGCGAAAGACGGGUGAGAAUCCCGUCCACCGAUUGACUAAGGUUUCCAGAGGAAGGCUCGUCCGCUCUGGGUUAGUCGGGUCCUAAGCUGAGGCCGACAGGCGUAGGCGAUGGAUAACAGGUUGAUAUUCCUGUACCACCAUGAUUCGUUUUAAGCGAUGGGGGGACGCAGUAGGAUAGGCGAAGCGUGCUGUUGGAGUGCACGUCCAAGCAGUAAGACUGAGUGUUAGGCAAAUCCGGCACUCAUUAAGGUCAAGCUGUGAUGGGGAGAGGAAACAUGUUUUCCUCGAGUCGUUGAUUUCAC